GCGGGGGUGCCCGAGCCAGGUCAAAGGGGCAGGGCUCAAGACCCUGUGGCGUAGGCCUGCGUGGGUUCGAAUCCCACCCCCCGCA
rnacentral:ncRNA from 14 species